GAGCUUUCUGUUACUUUUUCCCUGAUCACAUUCUCCUGUUCAUGUAUUUUUUUUUAAACCUUGUUGAUUUUUCUCCUUCCUCUAGAUUGUUCUAGGAGGAUCAUUUGAAGAAAAUUAAAUCAAGUUGUUUAGGACUAAUAACAGAAUCUCUCAAUUCUCACUCAUGCUUAUAUUAGAUUGUGAUCCAUAUACUGUUAAUGGUGAAACUGUUUAGGACUAGUAACAUUUUGUCAUACUUUUAUGACAGACAAACUGGCGCAGACCGAAAGGUAUUGAUUCUAGAGUCCGUAGGAAGUUCAAAGGAUGUACUUUGAUGCCCAACAUUGGCUAUGGUUCGGACAAAAAGACUCGUCAUUAUCUUCCUAAUGGCUUCAAGAAAUUUGUUGUCCACAAUGUCAAAGAACUUGAACUGUUGAUGAUGCAUAACAGGACUUACUGUGCUGAGAUUGCCCAUGAUGUAUCCACUCGAAAGAGAAAGGAGAUCGUUGAGCGAGCAGCUCAGUUGGAUGUUGUUGUUACCAACAAACUGGCUAGAUUGAGGAGCCAGGAGGAUGAGUAAACAAUUUUGCUAUAUUAUAUGAUGAUUCUGCUGUUGGAACGAUACUCUUCCCAUUAGGCAGUUUAAUCAUUGCAGAAUUAUUUUGUUUGGGGUUGAAUGUUAGUUAUUUUUGAAUCUAAACCUGUUUACUACUUCAAAUCGACACUUUAAAAUAGUUGUGUUCGUGUGGUAUGCACUAGCCUUUAAUUUCUCCAAAAUAUACUGAUUUUUUUACCAUGCUUAUAUUUCCAUGUUGAUGGAGUAAUUUGUCAUCAAAGCAAAAAUUGUUAUUCUAGACUAUGAAUUGUAAUGUAUUCAAUGUUAGAAUACUAAUCGAAAUUAUCUUAAAAUGCUAAAUUUUAAGGGCGGGGAGGCUUUGUUUCAUUAAGCUGUUCUCCUUUUUU
rnacentral:misc_RNA from 1 species